UACGUAGGGGGCAAGCGUUGUCCGGAUUUAUUGGGCGUAAAGAGCGUGUAGGCGGCCUGGUAGGUCUGCUGUGAAAACUCGAGGCUCAACCUCGAGACGUCGGCGGAAACCAUCUGGCUAGAGUCCGGAAGAGGAGAGUGGAAUUCCUGGUGUAGCGGUGAAAUGCGCAGAUAUCAGGAGGAACACCGGUGGCGAAGGCGGGUCUCUGGGCAGUAACUGACGCUGAGGAGCGAAAGCGUGGGGAGCGAACAGG
rnacentral:rRNA from 1 species